AUUGAACGCUGGCGGCAUGCUUUACACAUGCAAGUCGAACGGUAACAGGCCGCAAGGUGCUGACGAGUGGCGAACGGGUGAGUAAUGCAUCGGAACGUGCCCAGUCGUGGGGGAUAGCUACUCGAAAGAGUAGCUAAUACCGCAUACGAUCUAUGGAUGAAAGCGGGGGACCGUAAGGCCUCGCGCGAUUGGAGCGGCCGAUGUCAGAUUAGGUAGUUGGUGGGGUAAAGGCUCACCAAGCCAACGAUCUGUAGCUGGUCUGAGAGGACGACCAGCCACACUGGGACUGAGACACGGCCCAGACUCCUACGGGAGGCAGCAGUGGGGAAUUUUGGACAAUGGGCGCAAGCCUGAUCCAGCAAUGCCGCGUGCAGGAAGAAGGCCUUCGGGUUGUAAACUGCUUUUGUACGGAACGAAACGGCUCUGGUUAAUACCCGGGGCUAAUGACGGUACCGUAAGAAUAAGCACCGGCUAACUACGUG
rnacentral:rRNA from 1 species